GCAAGUCGAGCGCUUCCCUUCGGGGAGGAGCGGCGGACGGGUUAGUAACGCGUGGGAACGUACCCUUUUCUAAGGAAUAGCCACUGGAAACGGUGAGUAAUACCUUAUACGCCCUUCGGGGGAAAGAUUUAUCGGAGAAGGAUCGGCACGCGUUAGAUUAGAUAGUUGGUGUGGUAAUGGCCUACCAAGGCUACGAUAUAUAGCUGGUUUUAGAGGAUGAUC
rnacentral:rRNA from 1 species